UUCUCCUGCCUCAGCCUCCUGAGUAGCUGGGACUACAGGUGCCUGCCACCACGCCCAGCUAAUUUUUUUAGUAUUUUUAGUAGAGAAAGGGUUUCACCGUGUUAGCCGGGAUGGUCUCCAUCUCCUGACCUCGUGAUCUAUCCGCCUCUGCCUUCUAAAGUGCUGGGACUACAGGUGGAGCCACCAUACCUGGUACAUUCUUUUUUUUUUUUUUGAGAUGGAAUCUUGCUCUGGUACUCCGGUUGGAGUGCAGUGGUGCAAUCUUGGCUCGCUGCAACCUCCGCCUCCCAGGAUCAAGCAAUUCUCUUGCCUCAGCCUCCCGAGUAGCUGGGAUUACAAGUGCCCACCACCACACCCGGCUCAUCUUUGUAUUUUUA
rnacentral:lncRNA from 1 species